GGAGCUGUGGUGUAGAGGCCCAACAUGCCUGCCUGUCACGCAGGAGAUCGCGAGUUCGAAUCUCGUCAGCUCCGCCA
rnacentral:tRNA from 1 species